rnacentral:rRNA from 1 species
CCUACGGGUGGCAGCAGUAGGGAAUCUUUCACAAUGGGCGAAAGCCUGAUGGAGUAACGCCGCGUGCAGGAUGAAGGCCUUCGGGUUGUAAACUGCUUUUAUAAGCGAGAAAUAUGAUGGUAACUUAUGAAUAAGGAUCGGCUAACUACGUGCCAGCAGCCGAGGUCAUACGUAGGAUCCGAGCAUUAUCCGGAGUGACUGGGUGUAAAGAGUUGCGUAGGUGGCAUAAUAAGUAGCUAGUGAAAUCUGGUGGCUCAACCAUUCAGACUAUUAGCUAAACUGUUAAGCUCGAGACCGUUAGGGGUAACUGGAAUUUCUAGUGUAGGAGUGAAAUCCGUAGAUAUUAGAAGGAACACCAAUAGCGUAGGCAGGUUGCUGGGACGGUUCUGACACUAAGGCACGAAAGCGUAGGGAGCAAACGGGAUUAGAUACCCGUGUAGUC